UUUCCGUAGGUGAACCUGCGGAAGGAUCAUUACUGAGUGUUAGCACCUCGGGGUCCAACCUCCCACCCGUGUUUAGCGAACCUUGUUGCUCCGGCGGGGCCCCCUCGCGGCCGCGAAGCAGGAGCUGGCCCCGGGCCCGCACCCGCCGAAUCCACCGGGGAACGCUGUCUGAAGGGUACAAGCUGAUAAAAUUAAACAAUUAAUUAAAACUUUCAACGACGGAGCUUUUGGGUCGAGCAUCGAUGAACAAAGGAGCAGAUGGGAAGACCACACGUCCUA
rnacentral:misc_RNA from 1 species